GAGCAAAGUCACCAAGGACUAUUUAUCUGCUUGGAGUAAAGCUGGACGUAUUGAGUCAGCCUGAAACAGCGUCUGCAAGACUCUGGUGACAACAAAGUUAACCUCAAAAUGAAAACCAAGAAGACCGCAGAAUCGACUGAUGCAGUGACCAAAGGUGACU